GGCCGAAUAAAACGUGGAUUGCCCUGAUUCACAUAGUAUAACAAUCAAUAGUAAAGGGCAAUCAAUUUCUUCUUAAAUCUUAGAGAGGAUUGAAGCUGAGAGUGAGAAAAGCGUAUGUUUUAGUUUAAAGAACAAGGGAGUGAAGAAUCAACAUCAAAAAAAUACGAGGAAGACAAAGAAGGCAAAACGAACCAUAAAAUUGCAGACUCCCAAAGGAAGGAGACGCAAAUUGACAUCAAUGGUACAAUAUAUAGGAGAAGAAACCUGACAACGACGUCGAGAAUCUAAUAGAGGCUUCUCAGUAGAUAUGGUGGUGAGGAUUAACGACAGUGGGCCAAUGAAUGUGUGUCGCCAUGUGAGACAAAGUUCAUUACAUAUUCGCUGGAUCCAAUUUCCGUAGAAACGUUAAUGGGUUGCGAUCAAAGUUAUGGGCCUUAAGGAACCGAAGCCUAUAGCAAGCAAUCGAGCUCGAAAGCGAAGGAGUCAAGGCCCCGGAGAUCGCGGAGCAGUUACGGAGAUCACGAAGUCGACUUACUAUAAAGAAAGGAGGAGAGACAUGAAGAAUGACACGUUGAAAACCCUAGAGAGAACUACACACUAACAUCGAACUUGUUUCCUCCCGAUCUUAGACUCUUUUCUUUACGGUUCUCGUUUAUAU